UACCAGCACCCCGAGUGAUCGGGACGAUUAUUGGGCCUAAAGCAUCCGUAGCCGGUUCUGCAAGUCUCCCGUUAAAUCCAACUGCUCAACAGGUGGGCUGCGGAGGAUACUACAGAGCUAGGAGGCAGGAGAGGCAAGCGGUACUCAGUGGGUAGGGGUAAAAUCCGUUGAUCCAUUGAAGACCACCAGUGGCGAAGGCGGCUUGCCAGAAUGCGCUCGACGGUGAGGGAUGAAAGCUGGGGGAGCAAACCGG
rnacentral:rRNA from 1 species